rnacentral:lncRNA from 1 species
CUCCCAACACUUCUUGCAGUCCGAGGUUCUGGGGGUGGGGUGGUGUUCGCCCAGUACCUGUUUUCCAGCCUCAAAAGGGGUGUGAGGCCACAUUAUGCCUAGGCAAAUUCCUUGUAACCCAGACAUCAAGAUUUACCAGGCAAAGAGCUUAGCUCAUCCUAGAGUUGAGUCAUCUAAUUUUUGACAAAGAUUUUACAUUGAGCUGGUAGAUAAAUAACUGCGACUGGAGAGCAUUCUAAGGGGAAAACUUCAAAAAUGCCCUGCAAAGUUAGUUGUCUUGAAGGCUACGAGUUUUAUAAUCCUUUUCCCUCCCACAUUUAUUUUAUGUCUACAGAAGACAAUAAAACAUCGUUUCCUCCAUCAGACUUCAGGAAGAUGAGAAGGAAAGAAGCACAGGAGUGCUGAGAGCAUGAGAAAUUGGAGGGGACUGAGAUUAUCUUUGCCCAUCUUCCUAGG